rnacentral:rRNA from 1 species
CCUACGGGAGGCAGCAGUAGGGAAUUUUCCGCAAUGGGGGCAACCCUGACGGAGCAACGCCGCGUGAGUGAAGACGGCCUUCGGGUUGUAAAGCUCUGUUCUUGGGGAAGAAAACAAUGACGGUACCCAAGCAGAAAGCCCCGGCUAACUACGUGCCAGCAGCCGCGGUAAUACGUAGGGGGCAAGCGUUGUCCGGAAUUAUUGGGCGUAAAGCGCGCGCAGGUGGUGGAUUAAGUUGUGGGUAAAAGGCAAUGGCUCAACCAUUGUAAGCCUGCAAAACUGGUUCACUUGAGUGCAGGAGAGGGGAGUGGAAUUCCCGGUGUAGCGGUGGAAUGCGUAGAUAUCGGGAGGAACACCAGUGGCGAAGGCGACUCUCUGGCCUGUAACUGACACUGAGGCGCGAAAGCGUGGGGAGCGAACAGGAUUAGAUACCCUGGUAGUCCACGCCGUAAACGAUGAGUGCUAGGUGUUGGGGACAUCACGUCUCAGUGCGACGAACCGACUAGACACNCCGCCGGGACGGUACGGCCGCGAGCGUGAACGACGAAGAAGUAGACGGCGNGAGACGUGUCCGACGGCGACGACGAGGGGAGGUAGG